rnacentral:rRNA from 1 species
UACAGGGGGGGCAAGCGUUGUUCGGAAUUACUGGGCGUAAAGGGCCAGUAGGCGGCCAACUAAGUCACACGUGAAAUCCCCGGGCUUAACCCGGGAACUGCGUGUGAUACUGGAUGGCUUGAAUUCGGGAGAGGGAUGCAGAAUUCCAGGUGUAGCGGUGAAAUGCGUAGAUAUCUGGAGGAACACCGGUGGCGAAGGCGGCAUCCUGGACCGAUACUGACGCUGAUGAGCGAAAGCCAGGGGAGCAAACGGG